GGCCAGACUCCUACGGGAGGCAGCAGUGGGGAAUAUUGCACAAUGGGGGAAACCCUGAUGCAGCGACGCCGCGUGAGCGAUGAAGUAUUUCGGUAUGUAAAGCUCUAUCAGCAGGGAAGAAGAUGGCGGUACCUGACUAAGAAGCCCCGGCUAACUACGUGCCAGCAGCCGCGGUAAUACGUAGGGGGCAAGCGUUAUCCGGAUUUACUGGGUGUAAAGGGAGCGUAGACGGCGAUGCAAGCCAGAUGUGAAAGCCCGGGGCUCAACCCCGGGACUGCAUUUGGAACUGUGUGGCUGGAGUGUCGGAGAGGCAGGCGGAAUUCCGUGUGUAGCGGUGAAAUGCGUAGAUAUACGGAGGAACACCAGUGGCGAAGGCGGCCUGCUGGACAUUAACUGACGCUGAGGCGCGAAAGCGUGGGGAGCAAACAGGAUUAGAUACCCCGGUACA
rnacentral:rRNA from 1 species